rnacentral:lncRNA from 1 species
UCCAGAUGCCAGGAAGUGAACACCUUGUGCCUUUACCCCACUUCCCAGGCAUUGCCUCACAGGCCCCGAAAUAAUUGAGCCAACAAACCAUGGAACUGAAACCUUCCAAGCUAUGAGCCAAGGCAGCCCAGGUGUUUUGUGGCACUGGUGAAGCCGGUCAUCAUGAAAGCCUUUCAGUUGACAAUGAUCUGAGUUCCUAGACGAUCAUGGAACAGAUUUGUUCACCAACCCUGGAUUGCCCACUCCAUUCUGAACACUGCACUGAUUUGGACUCUAAAGAAGUUUAGGGUGGAAAAGCUUAUUAUACCUUUAUAGCCUUUGGGACAAGACAAAGUACUACAGUUUAGGCCAAAGUAAGCUUGUAAAUGCGGCCAUCCUAAAUCAGCACUGGCCAACAGAGAUGAGUCUAGUGUCAUUUAAAAUGUAUUUUAAUUCACACACACGCACUGCACACAAAACAGCUAAAAUGCUAAAAUUUUCUGUGAUGGUCAAUAAUAAUUGCCUCUGGGCACUCUUGUGAGG